AAAAUAUCUUUAUUCAAGAAAAGUAAAUCCGUACAUAUAGAAGUCAUAGAUGAUGGAAUAUAAAAAAGAAAUAUUAAAGAAAUCUUAAAUAAAUCUUAAUCAAAUCCUACUUUAAUCUCAAUUAAAAUCCCAAUAGAUCUUAAUUAAAUCUUAAGUCAAAUCCUAAUUAAAUUCUAAAUUCUAAAUCAAAUCUUAAAUAAAUCCAAAAUCCUACACAAAUUCUACAAAAAUUCUAAUCCUAAGCCCUAAAAAAAUCCGAAAUCCUAAACCAAAUCUUAAACAAAUCUUAAUUCUAAAUCUUAAACCAAACUCUAGAUAAAUCCUAAAUCUUAAAUCAAACCCUAGAUAAAUCCUAAAUCCUAAAUCAAAUCUUAGACAAAUCCUAAAUACUAAAUCAAAUCCUAGACAAAUCCUAAACCUUAAACAAAUUCAAAUCAAUCUUAAGGAAAAUUAUAAUUCUAAUAUUUAUUGAUUAAACCAUUGAUCUUGCUUAAAAAUUUAUACACCUCUCAACCUCAUAGUUAAAAAAAAGUAUAAAAAAUUUAAAGAUAAUUACACUUACGAGAUAGAAAAAAAAUCCUAAAAUUUUCUCAAGUGUUGGCCUCCUUCCUACUUCAAUCAAAAUAUUGAACUUCUAGCAUCAAUAUCUCCUUUUUGAACUAUUGAUUUUCUUCCAAAAUUAGCUUAAAUUAUUAAAAAUUAAAUCCAAUCUCUUUAUAAAAAGAUUUCACUUCAAUUUAAUUAAUCAAUUACUAAAAAUCUUAAAAAAUACUCACUAAUAUUUAAAUUCCAAUUUUUGAGACUUCAACCUACAAAAACUUUUACACACUUUGAUCUAAUUAUUCAAUUGAUCUUAAAUUCAAAACACACAUCAAACACAUCUAUAUCCACCAAUCUACAAAAUUACAUCUAUGGAUCUACUAUAAAACUUCCGAAAUUGUUUAUAACAUCAAUCCUAUUUUAUUUUAUAAAAAUUCAAGUCAUCCAAAACAAUCUUGACUUUGCAAAACUCUUACAAAGUCAUUACAAAUCCAAAUUUUAAAAAACCAAU
rnacentral:lncRNA from 1 species